rnacentral:misc_RNA from 1 species
CGGAGAACUCGAGAAAGUCUAGGUAAAGAGCUCAGGCCCUCUCAAUGUCAUGUAGCCUAAAGAAACACCUCCUUUAAGAUACCCGCUAGCGCAUGGAGACCCAUGAAUGAAGACUUCCUCCAAAUUAGCCACAGAUCAACUACGCAGCCAAAAAUGGCACUGAUGCUCUCCCGCCAGAACGGAGCUCUCGCCCUCUGUAACCCUAAACUUUCCGGCGGUCCUCUUCUCAAACCUGUCUCCACCUUUUCUUCUCCGGUUCACGAACCUCUAAAAUCCUUCUCUUUUUCCUUUAACGCCCCCAGAACCCCUGUAAACCACAUAUUCAUCGCCAAACAAGUUUCCCUACUCUCCCAGCACUGGCGAAUUCCCACUAUUUCUUAUCCCACCGAUUCACAAGACCUUCUCACUGGGCCAACACGGACCCUGACAACUAUCUUAACGUUAGAGUUUUCUCUAUCACGGCUAUUUGUAAAUUCAAUUCAGAAAUAGGCUCUGUCAGUAGGAGGAAUUUCGUUUCUGCCUAAUCUCAAUGAAUUGGCGG